UACUAGAGUAGCACUCGCAUAUCAAUAAGCGGAGGAAAAGAAACUAACAAGGAUUCCCUUAGUAACGGCGAGUGAAGCGGGAAGAGCUCAAAUUUGAAAUCUUCAAGGUUUUACCUUGACGAAUUGUAGUUUAAAGAAGUGUUUUCUGUUGAAGUUUUGGUAAAAGUUCUUUGGAAUAGGACAUCAUAGAGGGUGAGAAUCCCGUAUUUGACCAUUAUUUUCAGCUGUGUGAUACACUUUCAAAGAGUCGGAUUGUUUGGGAAUGCAGUCCAAAAUGGGUGGUAAAUUUCAUCUAAAGCUAAAUAUUGGCGAGAGACCGAUAGCGAACAAGUACCGUGAGGGAAAGAUGAAAAGAACUUUGAAAAGAGAGUUAAACAGUACGUGAAAUUGUCAAAAGGGAAGCGUUUGACACCAGUGUUGUUCUCUCGAAAAUCAAUUAAAAAAGGCUGGAUUUUGUGUUGUAUUGACCUUAAAAGCUUUCUUCACUCUUUUCUUGUCUUUUUUAAUGCACUUUUCGUUUAACAAGUCAACAUCAGUUUCUUUUGUUGUAAAAGGGUCAUUGGAAGGUGGCUUUCUUUUCGGAGAAAGUGUUUAUAGCCUUUGAUCUCUGCAACCGGAGAGACUGAGGUCUGCAGCGUAGACUCUUCGGGGUUAGAUACAUUUGUGCUAAGCUAUAGCUUUUUAUAGACAACUUGUUGACUAUAUUUAGUCUUGUGGCUUACUCGCUUAUGCUAUUUUACCUACGCUUAGGAUGUUGAAGAUGUAGCACAUCAU
rnacentral:rRNA from 1 species